GCUCUCCCUCACAGAAGGGUGUGAGGGAAGGGGUUUGGGCUGGUCUCAGGGGAGUUAGGGACUGCAGGGGCUCAGGGAUAGGGUUAGGGGAUGUAGAGACUCAGGAGGGUCCCCAAGUUUGUUGCUUAAAAGCCCCAGUCCCCGAGAGAGCCAACCAUCGUGCCCGGGGUUGCACCCACCGGAGCUGGUGACACCGUAGAGCAGCAGCCCUUGUCCACUCGCUCUGUACAUGGCAGCGUGGCUAAACGCGGAGGCAGAUUUCAAGGCACGGUCGUUUAACUACACUGGGAACGUCUGAUUCCAGGCAUGCUUAUUUCACAGAUUUUAGUUGCACAUUUCCUGGGCAACAGUUUUGCAAAUGUAAUUCUGCAGCUGUUUAUUAUUUCCCUCCUGCUGCUGCUGCUUACCACCUCCACGGCGUGUCAGAAGAAUGGGACACGAAUGCUCCCACCUCAGCCGUUUCAGCACAAAGUCUGGCAGCUGCUGGGGAAAGGGGGUUUAGGCAGAGCUGCCAGGCUUUGCCCAGGAGCCUGGGAGUGCGAGAGCUGUUCCAGCGGCGCUGCGCCGGCAGCGGGAGCCUCCGGCACAGGGGAGCGGAUGAAGGAGCUGCCGGGGGUGGUGACAACAUCUGCACCCACCCGAGGAGAGCACAUCUCCCGGGGCUGUAAGCGCAGGGCCGGGACCUUUGGCUGCUGAGCUGCCCCUGCUCCCACCGAGUUCAGCAAGAGUUCGGGACGCUCAGCCUCCCGCAGGUGCGGGGACGUGCACGCCGCUGGCACUGCGUUUGAUAGAGCCACACCUGGGGGAGCGCUGGGACUGCUGCCCGCCGGGCUGGGCGGGUCCCUUCG
rnacentral:lncRNA from 12 species